rnacentral:rRNA from 1 species
GACGAACGCUGGCGGCGUGCUUAACACAUGCAAGUCGAACGGAAAGGCCCCUUUGGGGGUCCUCGAGUGGCGAACGGGUGAGUAACACGUGAGUAACCUGCCCUUGACUUCGGGAUAACUUCAGGAAACUGGGGCUAAUACCGGAUAGGAAUCCUUGCUGCAUGGUGGGGGUUGGAAAGCUUCGGCGGUUUUGGAUGGACUCGCGGCUUAUCAGCUUGUUGGUGGGGUAGUGGCUUACCAAGGCUUUGACGGGUAGCCGGCGUGAGAGGGCGACCGGCCACAUUGGGACUGAGAUACGGCCCAGACUCCUACGGGAGGCAGCAGUGGGGAAUAUUGCACAAUGGGCGGAAGCCUGAUGCAGCAACGCCGCGUGCGGGAUGACGGCCUUCGGGUUGUAAACCGCUUUCAGCAGGGGCGAAGCUUGUGGUGACGGUACCUGCAGAAGAAGCACCGGCUAACUACGUG